UAUAACAUUCAAUUAAGAGUCUGCCAAGAGCCUGGGUCGUCCGAGGUUGUCUGCCUAAAAGGAAGUUUUUCCUUGCCACUGUCGCAUUGUUGCUCUGCUCUGGAG